rnacentral:misc_RNA from 1 species
GGAAGAUGAUUAACUUGUCUACUAUACCUCCUAAGGAAAACAAAUCCACACUUUCACUAGAUACACUUGUCAAUAGGAUUGAAUCAGAAAAUUUAGGGAAAGAAAACAUGUAUGUUGUUGCACUGGGUAAUCGAAAUCGAAUGAACUUCUCUGCACUUGCAAAUUGUAAGUCAGAAAUCCAAGGAAUCAAGGGAUAUGCACAUUUGAAUCAUAGGAUCUAUUCUCUUUCUGAAGAAUGCCUGUUUUCGGAGUUAGAUUGCCUGACGUCUUCAAUCAUUCUAACAACUUCCUCCAUGUUGGGUCGCAUGUCUGGGACCUUUACAACACAUGCCAUAGCAAUUUGCAGCAUUUGUACCAUCUCUUCUUCAAUGUUUUGAAAUCUCAUCAAAUCGACGUCAAAAACCUCUGAUGUCCAUUCCUCCCUGACAACUGAUUGGACCCACCUAGGAAGGUCAACCAUGUCAUCACGCCCCGGUGAUUGCAUUGGCUGCUUACCAGUAAGCAUCUCGAGUAGUAACACACCGAAGCUGUAGACAUCUGAUUUAUGACUAUGCUUUCGGCUUUCUAUCACCUCAGGAGCCCGGUACCCUGGAUAUCGGGAUGGGGCUGCAGGGAAGUUCAUUAUAGGGGCUAAACCAAAAUCUGAGAUGCAAGCUUCCAUAUCUUGCUUGAGUAGGACGUUUGAGGACUUUAUAUUUC